AUUGCUUCUCAGCCUUUCAGCUAAGAUCAAGUGU
rnacentral:snRNA from 1 species